rnacentral:pre_miRNA from 16 species
CACUCACUCAACUUGGGUGUGUUACGUAAGUGAUUCGCCACAACCUCCUUGAGUGAGCGU